rnacentral:rRNA from 1 species
UACGUAGGGGGCAAGCGUUAUCCGGAAUCAUUGGGCGUAAAGCGCGUGUAGGCGGUUCCGUAAGUCCGCUCUGAAAGCCCAGGGCUCAACCCUGGGAGGCGGGUGGAUACUACGGAACUGGAGUACGGAAGAGGAGAUUGGAAUUCCUGGUGUGGCGGUGAAAUGCGCAGAUAUCAGGAGGAACACCAACAGCGAAGGCAGAUCUCUGGGACGUUACUGACGCUGAGACGCGAAAGCGUGGGGAGCAAACAGG